rnacentral:tRNA from 1 species
GCCUGGCUGGUUCAUUUGGUGGAAUGUGUGACUCUUGAUCUCAGGGUCAUGAGUUUGAGUCCCAUGUUGGGCA